AGGGAGAAUGGAAGGAAGGAAGAAUGGAAGGAAGGAAGGAAGGGAGAAUGGAAGGAAGGAAGGAAGGGAGAAUGGAAGGAAGGAAGGAAGAAUGGAAGGAAGGGAGAAUGGAAGGAAGGAAGGAAGAAUGGAAGGAAGGAAGGGUGAAGUUAAUAAAAGGACCGACGACAUCAUCUUGGCUAACAACACGUUUGUGAGUUUGCCUUCCCUGUUGCUCUCACAUCUCCCAAAUGCUCCGAUCCCUAAAACUCUCUAAAUUACAAGAUGAUUUACAAAAUCUUCAUUAAGAGAUUCCAUAUUACAUUAUUCAUUUACUUGAUAAUAGUGUGAUAAUCUUAAGGGCAGAGCCUCAACUUAUUUAAAUAAAGUGGUUUUAAAUACAAUGCUCAAGAAAUAGCUGUGGAAUGGAAGAACGGCAACAGGAGUGGAAAAGAAUCCCGAGAACACUACAGGGGCAAGCAGCUUGUAUCUUAGUUGUAAUUUACUUAUUAAAUUAGCUAUGGAGGGCAGAUGGACAGGUAGGGAGGUAUAAAUAUUGAUCAUAAUUUUUAUUUUAUGUGCAUAUUUUUGGUUAAAGUAAUCCAUAUAAUAUGUAAGAAAAUAUAGGGAUUUUUUUCCUUUAAAGGACAAAUAUUGAAGUAUUUAGGUGUGAGUUGUUAUGAUUUGGGCAGCCUACUUUCAAAAGACUCAAAAACUAGUUUGCGAGUAUAAACGGAUUUUAUGCAUGCGAGCAUAAAACACAUAAAAACACAUAAAAUGUAUGGGUGGGCAUAUAUGAUAUGUGUUGUAUGUUCGUGAGACAUGUGAUGUUCACAUGCAUGAUUGCUGUAUGUAUGCACAUCUUUUGCUAUGUAUAAGUGAUUGUAUGCAUGCAUGUGGUACGAAGUGCAUCUGUAGCAUGCAUGUAUGAGCAUCUCUAAGUGGGCAUAUCUCUGCUUUUGUAUAUAUGUGUAUACAUGUUGUAUGAAUCAUUUACUCCCCUCUAUCAGUAUCAUAAUAUAGGCCAUACGAACACUAGUUAACCUUAAUACAUGGAUUUUUCUUUUUAAAUGUGUUCCAUAAACAUUCAAGUAAAUAUCAUUGAUGGAGGGAAUACCACAUCAAGCUGAGUCUAUCUGUCGAUAGAGUUUUGUGAACUCUGCUCCUAACUUCCCUG
ensembl:lncRNA